rnacentral:rRNA from 1 species
GACGAACGCUGGCGGCGUGCUUAACACAUGCAAGUCGAACGGGAAGGCCCUGUCUGGGGGACACGAGUGGCGAACGGGUGGGUAACACGCGGGUGAUCUGCCCUGCACUUUCGGAUAAGCGUGGUAAACUGGGUCUAAUUCCUGGUAGCACAGCGCUAUCGAUGUGGGGUGGGGGAGGGGUGUUUCGGCUUGUUGGGGGGGCACUGGCCCACCUUGGCGAUGAUGGGUAGCCGGCCUGAGGGGACGUCCGGCCACACUGGGACUGAGAUACGGCACAGCCUCCUACGGGAGGCAGCAGUGGGGAAUAUUGCACAAUGGGAGGAAGCCUGAUGCAGCGACGCCGCGUGGGGGAUGACGGCCUUCGGGUUGUAAACCCCUUUCAGCUCAGACGAAGCGUAAGUGACGGUACGUGCAGAAGAAGCACCGGCUAACUACGUG